CUAGCGGUUAAGAGUGGGAGGAGAAAUGUUGCAGGGUAAAGGUAUAUCAGAUCGGUGGCAGGUAGCCUAGCGGUUAAGAGUGGGAGGAGAAAUGUUGCAGGGUAAAGGUAUAUCAGAUCGGUGGCAGGUAGCCUAGCGGUUAAGAGUGGGAGGAGAAAUGUUGCAGGGUAAAGGUAUAUCAGAUCGGUGGCAGGUAGCCUAGCGGUUAAGAGUGGGAGGAGAAAUGUUGCAGGGUAAAGGUAUAUCAGAUCGGUGGCAGGUAGCCUAGCGGUUAAGAGUGGGAGGAGAAAUGUUGCAGGGUAAAGGUAUAUCAGAUCGGUGGCAGGUAGCCUAGCGGUUAAGAGUGGGAGGAGAAAUGUUGCAGGGUAAAGGUAUAUCAGAUCGGUGGCAGGUAGCCUAGCGGUUAAGAGUGGGAGGAGAAAUGUUGCAGGGUAAAGGUAUAUCAGAUCGGUGGCAGGUAGCCUAGCGGUUAAGAGUGGGAGGAGAAAUGUUGCAGGGUAAAGGUAUAUCAGAUCGGUGGCAGGUAGCCUAGCGGUUAAGAGUGGGAGGAGAAAUGUUGCAGGGUAAAGGUAUAUCAGAUCGGUGGCAGGUAGCCUAGCGGUUAAGAGUGGGAGGAGAAAUGUUGCAGGGUAAAGGUAUAUCAGAUCGGUGGCAGGUAGCCUAGCGGUUAAGAGUGGGAGGAGAAAUGUUGCAGGGUAAAGGUAUAUCAGAUCGGUGGCAGGUAGCCUAGCGGUUAAGAGUGGGAGGAGAAAUGUUGCAGGGUAAAGGUAUAUCAGAUCGGUGGCAGGUAGCCUAGCGGUUAAGAGUGGGAGGAGAAAUGUUGCAGGGUAACGGUAUAUCAGAUCGGUGGCAGGUAGCCUAGCGGUUAAGAGUGGGAGGAGAAAUGUUGCAGGGUAACGGUAUAUCAGAUCGGUGGCAGGUAGCCUAGCGGUUAAGAGUGGGAGGAGAAAUGUUGCAGGGUAAAGGUAUAUCAGAUCGGUGGCAGGUAGCCUAGCGGUUAAGAGUGGGAGGAGAAAUGUUGCAGGGUAAAGGUAUAUCAGAUCGGUGGCAGGUAGCCUAGCGGUUAAGAGUGGGAGGAGAAAUGUUGCAGGGUAAAGGUAUAUCAGAUCGGUGGCAGGUAGCCUAGCGGUUAAGAGUGGGAGGAGAAAUGUUGCAGGGUAAAGGUAUAUCAGAUCGGUGGCAGGUAGCCUAGCGGUUAAGAGUGGGAGGAGAAAUGUUGCAGGGUAAAGGUAUAUCAGAUCGGUGGCAGGUAGCCUAGCGGUUAAGAGUGGGAGGAGAAAUGUUGCAGGGUAAAGGUAUAUCAGAUCGGUGGCAGGUAGCCUAGCGGUUAAGAGUGGGAGGAGAAAUGUUGCAGGGUAAAGGUAUAUCAGAUCGGUGGCAGGUAGCCUAGCGGUUAAGAGUGGGAGGAGAAAUGUUGCAGGGUAACGGUAUAUCAGAUCGGUGGCAGGUAGCCUAGCGGUUAAGAGUGGGAGGAGAAAUGUUGCAGGGUAAAGGUAUAUCAGAUCGGUGGCAGGUAGCCUAGCGGUUAAGAGUGGGAGGAGAAAUGUUGCAGGGUAAAGGUAUAUCAGAUCGGUGGCAGGUAGCCUAGCGGUUAAGAGUGGGAGGAGAAAUGUUGCAGGGUAAAGGUAUAUCAGAUCGGUGGCAGGUAGCCUAGCGGUUAAGAGUGGGAGGAGAAAUGUUGCAGGGUAAAGGUAUAUCAGAUCGGUGGCAGGUAGCCUAGCGGUUAAGAGUGGGAGGAGAAAUGUUGCAGGGUAAAGGUAUAUCAGAUCGGUGGCAGGUAGCCUAGCGGUUAAGAGUGGGAGGAGAAAUGUUGCAGGGUAAAGGUAUAUCAGAUCGGUGGCAGGUAGCCUAGCGGUUAAGAGUGGGAGGAGAAAUGUUGCAGGGUAAAGGUAUAUCAGAUCGGUGGCAGGUAGCCUAGCGGUUAAGAGUGGGAGGAGAAAUGUUGCAGGGUAAAGGUAUAUCAGAUCAGUGGCAGGUAGCCUAGCGGUUAAGAGCGUUGGGCCAGUAACCCGAAAGAUCGCUGGUUCCAAACCCUGAGCCGGCUAGGUGAAACAUCUGUUGAUGUGACCUUGGGCAAGGGACUUAACCUUUAUUGCAUUUAAAUGGCUUUUUACAUUAAAAGAAUAGCAAGACUGUGAUUAAUGGACACCUGGUGUGUGUGUGUGCUGCUAUGCUUGUGUGUGUGUGCUGCU